rnacentral:rRNA from 1 species
AGUGAACGCUGGCGGUAGGCCUAACACAUGCAAGUCGAACGGCAGCACAGUAAGAGCUUGCUCUUACGGGUGGCGGGUGGCGGACGGGUGAGGAAUACAUCGGAAUCUACUUUUUCGUGGGGGAUAACGUAGGGAAACUUACGCUAAUACCGCAUACGACCUACGGGUGAAAGCAGGGGAUCUUCGGACCUUGCGCGAUUGAAUGAGCCGGUGUCGGAUUAGCUAGUUGGCGGGGUAAAGACCCACCAAGGCGACGAUCCGUAGCUGGUCUGAGAGGAUGAUCAGCCACACUGGAACUGAGACACGGUCCAGACUCCUACGGGAGGCAGCAGUGGGGAAUAUUGGACAAUGGGCGCAAGCCUGAUCCAGCCAUACCGCGUGGGUGAAGAAGGCCUUCGGGUUGUAAAGCCCUUUUGUUGGGAAAGAAAAGCAGCAGGUUAAUACCCCGCUGUUCUGACGGUACCCAAAGAAUAAGCACCGGCUAACUUCGUG